UACGGGGGGGGCAAGCGUUGUUCGGAAUUACUGGGCGUAAAGCGCACGUAGGCGGCUUUGUAAGUUAGAGGUGAAAGCCCGGAGCUCAACUCCGGAAUUGCCUUUAAGACUGCAUCGCUUGAAUCCAGGAGAGGUGAGUGGAAUUCCGAGUGUAGAGGUGAAAUUCGUAGAUAUUCGGAAGAACACCAGUGGCGAAGGCGGCUCACUGGACUGGUAUUGACGCUGAGGUGCGAAAGCGUGGGGAGCGAACAGG
rnacentral:rRNA from 1 species